AAUGAUUUGUCUGGUUAAUUCCGUUAACGAACGAGACCCCCGCCUGCUAAAUAGUUGUGGCUAUUCCUAGAAUAGUUGUCAGCUUCUUAGAGGGACUUUCGGUGAUCAACCGAAGGAAGUUGGGGGCAAUAACAGGUCUGUGAUGCCCUUAGAUGUCCUGGGCCGCACGCGCGCUACACUGACACACGCAACGAGUAUUCCUUGUCCGAAAGGUCUGGGUAAUCUUUUAAAUGUGUGUCGUGAUAGGGAUAGAUUAUUGCAAUUAUUAAUCUUGAACGAGGAAUUCCUAGUAAACGCAAGUCAUCAGCUUGCAUUGAUUACGUCCCUGCCCUUUGUACACACCGCCCGUCGCACCUACCGAUUGAAUGGUCCGGUGAACCCUCUGGACCGCGCUUACGGGGUUAAACCUGUAUGUCGCGGGAAGUUGGGUAAACCUUACCAUUUAGAGGAAGGUGAAGUCGUAACAAGGUUUCCGUAGGUGAACCUGCGGAAGGAUCAUU
rnacentral:rRNA from 14 species